rnacentral:lncRNA from 13 species
GUGGGUAGUUAUAAGAAUAAAUACCUCUAGGUCUGAAGAGGAAAGGGAAGAGAGCAGUUUCUAGAUAGAAGGAUACAGUCACAUACAAAGGGACUAUCCUGUCAGAUCUUAUGUCAGGGGAUUCAGCCAAACCAAGGCAGCCACGCAGGUGAGAAUCCAAUGAGAAGACUGUUGUCUGCAAACCAGGAAGAAGCCUCUCACCAGACCCUGGGUCUGCUGCUACCUCAUUCUUGAACUUCCCAGCCUCCAGAAUUGCUGGAGUGCAGUGGUGUGAUCUUGACUUACUACAACCUCCACAUCCUAGGUUUACGGGAUUCUCCUGCCUCAACCUCCAGAGUAGCGGGGACUACAGGAUAGAAGAUACUUCACUGUCCACAAUAGGGCUGGAACCAUAA